rnacentral:tRNA from 2 species
GGAGGGAUGGCAGAGUGGACGAUUGCGGCGGUCUUGAAAACCGCUGUGCCGGCGACGGUACCGUGGGUUCGAAUCCCACUCCCUCCGCCA